UGGGGAAUUUUGGACAAUGGGCGAAAGCCUGAUCCAGCAAUGCCGCGUGUGUGAAGAAGGCCUUCGGGUUGUAAAGCACUUUUGUCCGGAAAGAAAUCCUUGGCUCUAAUACAGUCGGGGGAUGACGGUACCGGAAGAAUAAGCACCGGCUAACUACGUGCCAGCAGCCGCGGUAAUACGUAGGGUGCAAGCGUUAAUCGGAAUUACUGGGCGUAAAGCGUGCGCAGGCGGUUCGCUAAGACCGAUGUGAAAUCCCCGGGCUCAACCUGGGAACUGCAUUGGUGACUGGCAGGCUAGAGUAUGGCAGAGGGGGGUAGAAUUCCACGUGUAGCAGUGAAAUGCGUAGAGAUGUGGAGGAAUACCGAUGGCGAAGGCAGCCCCCUGGGCCAAUACUGACGCUCAUGCACGAAAGCGUGGGGAGCAAACAGGAUUAGAUACCCUGGUAGUCCACGCCCUAAACGAUGUCAACUAGUUGUUGGGGAUUCAUUUCCUUAGUAACGUAGCUAACGCGUGAAGUUGACCGCCUGGGGAGUACGGUCGCAAGAUUAAAACUCAAAUGAAUUGAC
rnacentral:rRNA from 1 species